GACGUAGGGUGCAAGCGUUGUCCGGAUUUACUGGGCGUAAAGAGCGCGUAGGCGGUCUGUUAAGUGAGAAGUGAAAUCUCCAGGGCUCAACCCGGAAACUGCUUUUCAUACUGCCAGACUGGAGGGAUGCAGAGGUGAGUGGAAUUCCUGGUGUACCGGUGAAAUGGGUAGAUAUCAGGAGGAACACCCGUGGCGAAGGCGGCUCACUGGGCAUCACCUGACGCUGAGGCGCGAAAGUGUGGGUAGCAAACAGG
rnacentral:rRNA from 1 species